rnacentral:rRNA from 1 species
GACGAACGCUGGCGGCGUGCCUAAUACAUGCAAGUAGAACGCUGAAGGAGGAGCUUGCUUCUCUGGAUGAGUUGCGAACGGGUGAGUAACGCGUAGGUAACCUGCCUGGUAGCGGGGGAUAACUAUUGGAAACGAUAGCUAAUACCGCAUAAGAGUAGAUGUUGCAUGACAUUUGCUUAAAAGGUGCAAUUGCAUCACUACCAGAUGGACCUGCGUUGUAUUAGCUAGUUGGUGGGGUAACGGCUUACCAAGGCGACGAUACAUAGCCGACCUGAGAGGGUGAUCGGCCACACUGGGACUGAGACACGGCCCAGACUCCUACGGGAGGCAGCAGUAGGGAAUCUUCGGCAAUAGACGGAAGUCUGACCGAGCAACGCCGCGUGAGUGAAGAAGGUUUUCGGAUCGUAAAGCUCUGUUGUAAGAGAAGAACGAGUGUGAGAGUGGAAAGUCCACACUGUGACGGUAUCUUACCAGAAAGGGACGGCUAACUACGUG